GAUGAAGAACGUAGCGAAAUGCGAUAAGUAAUGUGAAUUGCAGAAUUCAGUGAAUCAUCGAAGCUUUGAACGCACCUUGCGCCCUUUGGCCAUUCCGAAGGGCAUGCCUGUUUGAGUAUCAUGAACACCUCAACUCUCAUGGCUCGCCAUGAUGAGCUUGGACUUUGGGGGUCUUGCUGGCCUGUGGUCGGCUCCUCUCAAAUGGAUCAGCUUGCCAGUGUUUGGUGGCAUCACAGGUGUGAUAACUAUCUGCGCUUGUGGUUUUCCAUCAGAUAACCUUCAGUGAUGGAGGUUCGCUGGAGCUCAUAAACGUCUCCCCUAAGCGGGGACAGCCCUUUGAAUGUUUGAUCUCAAAUCAGGUAGGACUACCCGCUGAACUUAAGCAUAUCAAUAAGCGGAGGA
rnacentral:misc_RNA from 1 species